GGAAUUGUGGCUCAGUGGUAGAGCACUCACUAGCACGUGAGAGGCCCUGGGUUCAAUCCUCAGCACCA
rnacentral:tRNA from 1 species